UACGUAGGGUGCAAGCGUUGUCCGGAAUUAUUGGGCGUAAAGAGCUCGUAGGCGGUCUGUCGCGUCUGCCGUGAAAGUCCGGGGCUCAACUCCGGAUCUGCGGUGGGUACGGGCAGACUAGAGUGAUGUAGGGGAGACUGGAAUUCCUGGUGUAGCGGUGAAAUGCGCAGAUAUCGGGAGGAACACCGGUGGCGAAGGCGGUUCUCUGGGCCUUACCUGACGCUGAGGAGCGAAAGCAUGGGGAGCGAACAGG
rnacentral:rRNA from 1 species